rnacentral:pre_miRNA from 1 species
UUACUACUCCCUCCGUCUGGAAAUACUUGUCAUCAAAAUGAACAAAAGGGGAUGUAUCUAGACGUAUUUUAGUUCUAAAUACAUCCCUUUUUAUCUAUUUUGAUGACAAGUAUUUUCGGAUGGAGGGAGUAUAAA